GCUGUAGCUCAGUGGUACGGUAUCUGCUUUUCAUGCAGAAGGUCUCAGGUUCAAUCCCUGACAUCUCCA